AAAAUCCCGACUGUUUGGAAGGGAUGUAUUUAUUAGAUAAAAAAUCAAUGUCUUCGGACUCUUUGAUGAUUCAUAAUAACUUUUCGAAUCGCAUGGCCUUGUGCUGGCGAUGGUUCAUUCAAAUUUCUGCCCUAUCAACUUUCGAUGGUAGGAUAGUGGCCUACCAUGGUUUCAACGGGUAACGGGGAAUAAGGGUUCGAUUCCGGAGAGGGAGCCUGAGAAACGGCUACCACAUCCAAGGAAGGCAGCAGGCGCGCAAAUUACCCAAUCCCGACACGGGGAGGUAGUGACAAUAAAUAACGAUACAGGGCCCUUUCGGGUCUUGUAAUUGGAAUGAGUACAAUGUAAAUACCUUAACGAGGAACAAUUGGAGGGCAAGUCUGGUGCCAGCAGCCGCGGUAAUUCCAGCUCCAAAAGCGUAUAUUAAAGUUGUUGCAGUUAAAAAGCUCGUAGUUGAACCUUGGGCUUGGUUGGCCGGUCCAUUUUUCUGAUGCGUACUGGACCCAACCGAGCCUUUCCUUCUGGCUAGCCUUUUGGCGAACCAGGACUUUUACUUUGAAAAAAUUAGAGUGUUCAAAGCAGGCCUUUGCUCGAAUAUAUUAGCAUGGAAUAAUAGAAUAGGACGUUAUGGUUCUAUUUUGUUGGUUUCUAGGACCAUCGUAAUGAUUAAUAGGGACGGUCGGGGGUAUCAGUAUUCAGUUGUCAGAGGUGAAAUUCUUGGAUUUACUGAAGACUAACUACUGCGAAAGAUNUUACCAAGGACGUUUUCAUUAAUCAAGAACGAAAGUUAGGGGGAUCGAAGAUGAUCAGAUACCGUCGUAGUCUUAACCAUAAACUAUGCCGACUAGGGAUCGGUUGUUGUUCUUUUAUUGACGCAAUCGGCACCUUACGAGAAAUCAAAGUCUUUGGGUUCUGGGGGGGAGUAUGGUCGCAAGGCUGAAACUUAAAGGAAUUGACGGAAGGGCACCACCAGGAGUGGAGCCUGCGCUUAAWUUUGACUCACACGGGGAAACUCACCAGGUCA
rnacentral:rRNA from 1 species